rnacentral:rRNA from 1 species
CCUGACCUCAAAUCAGGUAGGACUACCCGCUGAACUUAA